rnacentral:lncRNA from 1 species
UUCACUUUGCUUUUAUAAUAUAUCCAUAAGGAACCUCUUUCCUUUCUCUAUCAGGUUUUCUGAAAUAACAUUUAGUGCUGCACAUGCCUCUGAGAUCCCAGGGUGGAAGCCCAUGGUUUCCUUAAAGGUUCUGAUCUCCACACCAGCAAGGCAGCAUGAACCUGCUGUACUGUCAGCAAUCACCUCCCUGCCACCACAGAAGGUUCUUACUCUUUGGCAAAGCAACGAGAAUAGUCAUCAGAGCUGCAGAAUCUACAGCCUUCUGUAGAGCCCCAGAGCUGCACACUCCAAGGAAGAAACUUCUUUACAGUGUCAGCAACAUUAUUCCUCUGCCUGCUGAAUGCACGAGCAAAGGUGAGCGUACAGUCAGAGCACAAGAGGGAAAGGAUGCUUUGGUCAGGUGACUGGACUCUCCACAGAGCUGUAAGUAAAAGAUGGCUUGUUUGGUUAAUGAUGCAUGUGGCAGCCGUUUCACUGAUAG